rnacentral:rRNA from 1 species
GCAUUUAUAAUUAAUUAUAGUUUCGGCUAUAAUUAUUGUUUAUGUAAAUUUCUCGCACUCCCGGGGCGCUUGCUUCACGCUUUGCGUGUCAAUGCGCACCUAGAGCGUACACGCUGAUACCCGAAAGAUGGUGAACUAUGCCUGGCCAGGACGAAGCCAGGGGAAACCCUGGUGGAGGUCCGCAGCGAUUCUGACGUGCAAAUCGAUCGUCGGAGCUGGGUAUAGGGGCGAAAGACCAAUCGAACCAUCUAGUAGCUGGUUCCCUCUGAAGUUUCCCUCAGGAUAGCUUGCGCUCGGUUGAGAAGAGUCUCAUCCGGUAGAGCGAAUGAUUAGAGGCAUUGGGGUCGAAACGACCUCAACCUAUUCUCAAACUCCAAAUAGAUGAGACCCCCGGCUUUCUUAAAAGUGAAGCCGUGGGAUUAGGAUCAGAGUGCCAAGUGGGCCAAUUUUGGUAA